rnacentral:rRNA from 1 species
AUUGAACGCUGGCGGAAUGCUUUACACAUGCAAGUCGAACGGCAGCACGGGAGCUUGCUCCCGGUGGCGAGUGGCGAACGGGUGAGUAACAUAUCGGAACGUACCCAGUCGUGGGGGAUAACUAUCCGAAAGGAUAGCUAAUACCGCAUACGUCCUGAGGGAGAAAGCGGGGGAUCGCAAGACCUCGCGCGAUUGGAGCGGCCGAUAUCGGAUUAGCUAGUUGGUGGGGUAAAGGCUCACCAAGGCGACGAUCCGUAGCGGGUCUGAGAGGACGACCCGCCACACUGGAACUGAGACACGGUCCAGACUCCUACGGGAGGCAGCAGUGGGGAAUUUUGGACAAUGGGGGCAACCCUGAUCCAGCCAUUCCGCGUGAGUGAAGAAGGCCUUCGGGUUGUAAAGCUCUUUCAGCAGGAACGAAACGGUCGGCUUUAAUAAAGUCGGCUAAUGACGGUACCUGCAGAAGAAGCACCGGCUAACUACGUG